AUCCUACGGGACGCAGCAGUGAGGAAUAUUGGUCAAUGGGCGGGAGCCUGAACCAGCCAAGUCGCGUGAGGGAAGACGGUCCUAUGGAUUGUAAACCUCUUUAGGCGGGGAGCAAUGCCGGGCACGCGUGCCCGGAGGGAGAGUACCCGCAGAAUAAGCAUCGGCUAACUCCGUGCCAGCAGCCGCGGUAAUACGGAGGAUGCGAGCGUUAUCCGGAUUUAUUGGGUUUAAAGGGUGCGUAGGCGGAUUUUUAAGUCAGCGGUAAAAUGUCCGGGCUCAACCCGGGGCGGCCGUUGAAACUGGGG
rnacentral:rRNA from 1 species